rnacentral:rRNA from 1 species
GAUGAACGCUAGCUACAGGCUUAACACAUGCAAGUCGAGGGGCAGCAUGAUUGAAGCUUGCUUCAAUUGAUGGCGACCGGCGCACGGGUGAGUAACACGUAUCCAACCUUCCGUACACUCAGGGAUAGCCUUUCGAAAGAAAGAUUAAUACCUGAUGGUAUCUUAAGCACACAUGUAAUUAAGAUUAAAGAUUUAUCGGUGUACGAUGGGGAUGCGUUCCAUUAGGUAGUAGGCGGGGUAACGGCCCACCUAGCCUACGAUGGAUAGGGGUUCUGAGAGGAAGGUCCCCCCACAUUGGAACUGAGACACGGUCCAAACUCCUACGGGAGGCAGCAGUGAGGAAUAUUGGUCAAUGGACGAGAGUCUGAACCAGCCAAGUAGCGUGAAGGAUGAAGGUCCUACGGAUUGUAAACUUCUUUUAUACGGGAAUAAAGUAUCCUACGUGUAGGAUUUUGUAUGUACCGUAUGAAUAAGCAUCGGCUAACUCCGUG